rnacentral:rRNA from 1 species
UGUGUAGGAGACUAGGGAGAAAUCUCGGGAAUUGAGGUAUACUCCAUAGGUCAUGGGAUCUGGAACGACCCAUGGCCGAAAGCUCCGGCGCUUAAGGAUCGCUCUGCGGCUUAUCAGGUCGUAGUGGGUGUAACGUACCCCCUAGCCGACGACGAGUAUGGGCCUUGAGAGAGGGAGCCCAGAGUUGGAUUCUGAGACACGAAUCCAGGCCCUACGGGGCGCAGCAGUCGCGAAAACUUCACACUGGGGGCAACCCCGAUGAGGGAAUUCCUAGUGCCAGGGCUUUUUGUCCUGGCUUUUCUCCAGCGUAGAUUACUGGAGGAAUAAGGGCUGGGUAAGACGGGUGCCAGCCGCCGCGGUAAUACCUGCAGCCCGAGUGGUGGUCGAUUUUAUUGAGUCUAAAACGUUCGUAGCCGGCCCGGUAAAUCCCUGGGUAAAUCGGGAAGCUCAACUUCCCGAAUUCCGGGGAGACUGCCGGGCUUGGGACCGGGAGAGGCUAGAGGUACUUCUGGGGUAGGGGUAAAAUCCUGUAAUCCUGGAAGGACCACCGGUGGCGAAGGCGUCUAGCUAGAACGGAUCCGACGGUGAGGGACGAAGCCCUGGGUCGCAAACGGGAUUAGAUACCCCGGUAGUCCAGGGUGUAAACGCUGCAGACUUGGUGUUGGGGGCCCUUCGGGGGCGUCCAGUGCCGGAGAGAAGUUGUUAAGUCUGCUACUUGGGGAGUACGUCCGCAAGGAUGAGACUUAAAGGAAUUGGCGGGGGAGCACCGCAACGGGAGGAGCGUGCGGUUUAAUUGGAUUCAACACCGGAAAACUCACCAAGGGCGACUGUUACAUGAAAGCCAGGCCGAUGACCUUGCUAGAUUUUCAGAGAGGUGGUGCAUGGCCGUCGUCAGUUCGUACCGUAAGGCGUUCUCUUAAGUGAGAUAACGAACGAGACCCUCACCGAUAAUUGCUACCCCUUCCUCCGGGGAGGGGGCACAUUAUAGGGACCGCUGGCGCUAAGCCAGAGGAAGGAGAGGUCAACGGUAGGUCAGUAUGCCCCGAAUCUCUUGGGCUACACGCGCGCUACAAAGGGCGGGACAAUGGGCUCCGACGCCGAGAGGCGGAGGCAAUCCCGAAACCCGUCCGUAGUUCGGAUUGAGGGCUGUAACCCGCCCUCAUGAAGCUGGAUUCCGUAGUAAUCGCGAAUCAUCAGUCCGCGGACCCCU